rnacentral:rRNA from 1 species
CAAUCGAACCCGGAGAUAGCUGGUUCUCCCCGAAAUAGCUUUAGGGCUAGCGUCGGAAAGAACCUUAGUGAAGGUAGAGCACUGAAUGUGUGAUGGCCCCAUCCCGGGGUACUGAAUACAAUCAAACUGCGAAUGUCAUUAAGGAUGUCCGGCAGUCAGACUGUGAGUGAUAAGGUCCAUGGUCAAGAGGGAAACAGCCCAGACCGCCAGUUAAGGUCCCAAAAUACAGGCUAAGUGGAAAAGGAUGUGGGGAUGCCCAGACAACUAGGAGGUUGGCUCAGAAGCAGCCAUCCUUUAAAGAGUGCGUAACAGCUCACUAGUCGAGUGACCCUGCGCCGAAAAUGUACCGGGGCUAAGCCUGAUACCGAAACUGCGGAUUGUAGGAAACUAUAGUGGUAGGGGAGCGUUGUAUACGAGUAGAAGCCGUACCGUGAGGAGCGGUGGAUUGUAUAGAAGUGAGAAUGCCGGUGUGAGUAGCGAGAUGUAGGUGAGAAUCCUACACACCGAAAGCCCAAGGAUUCCAGGGGAAGGUUCGUCCGCCCUGGGUAAGUCGGGACCUAACGCGAGGCCGAAAGGCGUAGUGGAUGGAAAGCAGGCGAAAGAUUCCUGCACCCGUAUAUGGAGCGAAGGAGUGACGGAGACGGAUAGUGUGACCCUCUUAAUGGAUUGAGGGCGAAGCGAAGCGGCUGGUUACCAGGCAAAUCCGAUAACUGAAAGGCUAGAGCGUGACAGGUAAGCGAAAUCUUCGGAAAGUAGCGAAGCACAUGAUGACGGCUUCCAGGAAAAGCUUCUGGCAAUGCAUAUGCGGCCCGUACCAAAACCGACACAGGUGGGCAGGGAGAGAAUCCCGAGGUGAGCGAGAGAACUGUUGCCAAGGAACUCGGCAAAAUGACUCCGUAAGUUAGCGAGAAGGAGUGCUUAAGCAAUUAAGCCGCAGUGAAGAGGCCCAAGCGACUGUUUAACUAAAACACAGCUCUCUGCGAAGUCGCAAGACGAAGUAUAGGGGGUGACACCUGCCCGGUGCUGGAAGGUUAAGAGGAUCUGUUAAGAGCGAUCUGAAGCAGUGAUCCGAAGCCCCAGUGAACGGCGGCCGUAACUAUAACGGUCCUAAGGUAGCGAAAUUCCUUGUCAGGUAAGUUCUGACCCGCACGAAAGGUGUAACGAUUUGGGCGCUGUCUCGGCAGCAGACUCGGUGAAAUCUUAGUACCUGUGAAAAUGCAGGUUACCCGCAACUAGACGGAAAGACCCCAUGGAGCUUUACUGCAGCCUGAUAUUGAAUUCUGGUCAUACAUGUACAGGAUAGGUGGGAGACAAAGAGACGUGCACGCCAGUGUACGAGGAGUCGACGUUGGGAUACCACUCUUGUGUGACCGGGGUUCUAACCUGGUAUCGAAAACAGGUACGGGGAGAGUGUCAGGUGGGCAGUUUGACUGGGGCGGUCGCCUCCCAAAGAGUAACGGAGGCGCCCAAAGGUACGCUCAGAUUGGAUGGAAACCAAUCGCCGAGUGCAAUUGCAGAAGCGUGCUUGACUGUGAGACUUACAAGUCGAACAGGGACGAAAGUCGGGAAUAGUGAUCCGGCGGUGCCGAAUGGAAGGGCCGUCGCUCAACGGAUAAAAGCUACCCUGGGGAUAACAGGCUGAUCUCCCCCAAGAGUUCACAUCGACGGGGAGGUUUGGCACCUCGAUGUCGGCUCAUCGCAUCCUGGAGCUGAAGUCGGUUCCAAGGGUUGGGCUGUUCGCCCAUUAAAGCGGUACGCGAGCUGGGUUCAGAACGUCGUGAGACAGUUCGGUCCCUAUCUGUUGUGGGCGAAGGAGAUCUGCGGAGAGCUGUCCUCAGUACGAGAGGACCGGGAUGGACCUACCGCUGGUGCACCGGUUGUUCCGCCAGGGGCAUAGCCGGGUAGCUAAGUAGGGAAAGGAUAAGCGCUGAAAGCAUCUAAGCACGAAGCCUACUCCAAGAUGAGAUCUCCCAUUCGCAAGAAGUAAGACCCCUUAAAGACGAUAAGGUAGAUAGGCCAGGGAUGGAAGUGCAGUGAUGUACGGAGUUGACUGGUACUAAUCGGUCGAGGACUUAAUCAG